CUUCAUUCAAAGACUGCAGGCCAGAGGUGCCCAAAUUCUUUCAUAUGAAGGGCUAAAAUGUAUCUGGAUGGCAGGCAACGGGCCAAA